UUUAAAUGAAUGAAUGAAUGGCUGAUGAUUGAUUGGGGGGGGAAUGCUUAGUUGGCACCUGGCAACUUAUCAAUCAAUAGUUUGGGGCUGUGAAAUACGGACCCUUAAACCCUAAGUCCUUAAAUUUCCCUGUAAGAAGAAACAUCAUUGAUGACUUUCCUCAUUGAUGGCAUCCGAGCAGAGCCCAGCAGAAGGCCAACCGAUGUGUGGGUGUGCAAAUUAGUUACCUUGGCCCUGGUCCUGGCAGGCACAGCAGAAGGUGACUGUCAAUGGGGAAUGGAGCCCUAUCAGGAAAGCACAUUUUUCUCUCAAAUAUCUUGAUGAAAUGCAACAGACUGUCUCAGGAAACUUUGUCCCUCCUGCCUAUAAUCCCUGGGAGAUGAUGUAUGAGCAUUCUGGACCCAGGUAGGACGGAUGCUGGAUCCUGACUUGGGUAUCAUCUCCUGGAGUACGAUGAAUCCAGUUUUAUCUGGAUUCUACGUUUAGCUUUCAAGAAGUGUUUUUUAAGUGCCUAUCAUGUACCCAGCACUUGAAUAGGAGAUCCAAGAGG
rnacentral:lncRNA from 1 species